AACGAACGCUGGCGGCAGGCUUAACACAUGCAAGUCGAACGGAUGUAGCAAUACAUCAGUGGCAGACGGGUGAGUAACACGUGGGAACCUUCCUCGUUGUACGGGACAACUCAGGGAAACUUGAGCUAAUACCGUAUACGUCCGAGAGGAGAAAGAUUUAUCGCAAUGAGACGGGCCCGCGUCGGAUUAGCUAGUUGGUG
rnacentral:rRNA from 1 species